rnacentral:rRNA from 16 species
UUAAAUUGAAGAGUUUGAUCAUGGCUCAGAUUGAACGCUGGCGGCAGGCCUAACACAUGCAAGUCGAACGGUAACAGGAAGCAGCUUGCUGCUUCGCUGAC